UGCGUCUUUUGCAGAAAAAAAAAAGAAACUCAAUCGAAAUACAUUUUUCAGUACCACAUUACUUGAUGUACUGUAAUACUACACACCCUCCACUGUUCUCCGGUGUGUUUCUCUCCCUCAGGCCCGAAAAUAGGCCAGCUUUGAACCAUGUGACUGUAGGUGUCAGGAGGAGAAAGCUUACACACAAACUCACCACACACACACACACACAGACACUACCAGGUGUGUACCUAUUGUCAUUCCAGGACUUAAACACAGUGCUCAGGUUACAGGCUGCAGCAUGUUAAAAAUGUUAAAUGUGUGUUAUUGUUCAGGACGGUAUCAGCAGCAAACAUCAUGCUAACUUCUGUCAGCACGUUUACAUUUACACACACACACACAGAUCCACAGUAGAGUUUCACCCCCGGUUUAAAAGCACAGACAGAGAACCACCAACAGACUCCACUGCACCACUACGUUGCCUCUCGUUCUGUACCUGUUUCAUGCUAAAAUUAGCUCUUAGCUUCUUUGAAUCUGCAGAGAUAAAGGCGACUCCUCAGUAGAUAGACAGCAGGCUGUCUCGUCUGAGCCUCGGUAGAUUUUAAGAUCACGAGUGUUGAAGUCGUGGGUGGAAGACGGGAAGCGUCUUCCUCCGUAAAACAUUUGUGUCUUUUACAUAAAAUAUAGUGUCUUUUACCUUUGAAAAAAAGCAGGAUUUGUGUGUGUACUGUACACCAUGUGUGUGUGUGUAUAAGAUGUGCAGGGGGCAGCGGUGAGGGCAGUACUUUUCCACAUGGUGAGCCUGUAGUGCAGCAGCAAAUGCACAAAGGAGUCGGGUUUCAGUGCUGUGUCAACUUGAGCAGUGACAAGGGGAACAGGACAAUGUUGAAGGGGAGGAGCUCAAACAGAGAGGAGAGAGAGGGAGGUACAGUGAAGGACAAGUGAAGGAGGGAGAGAGGGAGGGAGGAGGGGGUGUGAAAGAAACCCCUGGUCUCUGAAUCUGUUUUGCAGGAACAUCAUUUUAUUUAUAUUAAACAUCAUUCAAAACAUUAGAUACGUUAUAAUUGGUCAGACUUUGUUCAAAUCGUGGCUCAGGGUCCAGCUGUGGCCCUCUGGCAUGUGUCUUAUAUGACCAGUCAGUUUAGUCCUCAAAAUUAGUUUAUUUACCUCCUGUAACGAUGACUAAGUUAUCGCUGCGGCUAUAAGGUUAUUUGUCGUCAUGUGAAGAAUAUAAGUCAGUGCAGCAGAGAUGAAAUGCGAUCAGGUGAUGCUCAGGCACAGAUCUCAGCUGCAGAGAGUCGAGUCACGACUCUGCCAUGCUGCUCUGUCUCCUUCAACAGCCGCAGUUUCAGAGGAUUUCUGUUGGUUCUUUUUGUGGAGAGGUGUGAACAAUGUUGGCUCCUAAUCCUCUUCUUUGUGGCAGUUGGUCAGCCUCUCGAGGACACAUUGUUAUUUAAGUAGUACCAUUCAGUGGACUGAGGACGUAGUCAGUCAGUCGGGACAUUUGAAUGAGAGGUUGUGAGAUGACUGACAGCAUCUGUGAAAAAUCCGAUGUUUGAUGCCACUUUACUUUUUUAGUACUGCAGUACUGGGAGGGUUAUAUGUUGGAAUCAUUAGAAAUAUAUUAAUGAUAGAAGACAUAGAGAUUGUGGGUGUAAAAGAGGGAGGUGAAGGAGGAGGAGAAGUAGAAACAGAAGAAGUAGAAUAGUAAUCAGUGAAGAAUAUAAAAACGAGAGAAGGAAGAAAAUUAAAAAAGGAAAAUAAUAGAAGAAGAGGUAAUAGAAGUAGUAGAAGUAAUAUAAGUAGUAGUAGUGGUAGUAGUAGUGGUGGUAGUUCGUGUGAGGAGCCGUGACCGUUAUCAGCUCAUGAUAGGUCGAGGCAGCCUUCAGCUACCAUCUGAGUCAGGGUCAACCUGAUAUCAGGUUGUAAAACAAUUAUUGUAAGAAAAUGAAUCGGCUGGGUAAACAGGCUGAUUUUUAGUCAGUUAAAGUAUUAAUAGCCUCACUUGCUAGUUUUACUCCUGUGAUGGUUUAAAACCGGACUUUUCUUCUAGGUUCACUGGGCUGUGCAUAUCCACUGUGUCCUGGUCAGUGACCCUGAUCCUGAGCCAAAAUCAUCAACCUUUGACUGUUUGCACUGAGGUCCUAUUUUUAGUUUUUCUAUUGGAUUUGUUCUAUUUUUAGGCCUUUACACACAAUAGUAGUGGCCGCAAUCAUCUUUUCGGAGUUCCUUGACCCUUUAUUUCAACACAGUACCUCUAAAAUAUCAGUCUCUUAAAUAAAGGUUAGUUUAAUUUUGAAGCAAAAGCUGUGACUGUGGUAGGGGGACGUAACAAUAGUCCUGUCAAAUUGGGGAGUAUAAUUAUUGGGAACAUUUUUACAUCAAUACAAAAUUAAAAUCCUAUUUAAAGGAAAAUACAAGACAAAGCAAACACAGUGUAAACUCAGGUGAUGUUUGGUGGAUUCGCUGUCAACAUGGAGCUACUCAAUAAUAUUUCUUGGUAAAAGUGCGUCUGGUUGUGAGAGAUAAGAGUGUGCUUGGUUAGAGAGCAGACUGGAAAUGUUCAGCCAUCAAUGAGUCGCUCUUUGGAAAUGACAAGGCAGUAAACCCAACUCAUGGUGGAACACAGACCUCUUUACGACCCUGAGCAGCAGUUUUACACCUAACCAAAAUGACUAAGUCCUAUGAAGCUGGGAACGUCUGUGUUUUUCCUGGCUGUGAGCUCAGCUGUCUGCGAUGGACAUGUGUUAAUGAGCUUUCAACCUUCAGACACAUUUGAACAGAAUGCAGGGAAUGUUACACCUUCAUAGAACUGAAAACCAGGACACUGAUCUUCUCGUGUCUGUGUGUCAGUACACUUCAAUUAAAAAA